rnacentral:rRNA from 1 species
CCUACGGGAGGCAGCCGUGGGGAAUAUUGCGCAAUGGGCGAAAGCCUGACGCAGCGACGCCGCGUGAGGGAUGAAGGUCUUCGGAUCGUACACCUCUGUCAGCAGGGAAGAACGGUCACUGUGCUAAUCAGCAGUGAAUUGACGGUACCUGCAAAGGAAGCACCGGCUAACUCCGUGCCAGCAGCCGCGGUAAUACGGAGGGUGCGAGCGUUAAUCGGAAUUACUGGGCGUAAAGCGCUCGUAGGCGGUAUGUCAAGUCAAGGGUGAAAUCCCCGCGCUCAAGGUUGGAACUGCCUUUGAAACGGGCAAACUGGAGUGUGUGAGCGGAUAGUGGAAUUCCAGGUGUAGGAGUGAAAUCCGUAGAUAUCUGGAGGAACAUCAGUGGCGAAGGCGACUAUCUGGCACAUAACUGACGCUGAGGAGCGAAAGCGUGGGUAGCAAACAGGAUUAGAUACCCUUGUAGUC